rnacentral:rRNA from 1 species
AGGUGCUUGCACUUGAGAGAUUUAACAUUGAGACGAGUGGCGAACUGGUGAGUAACACGUGGGUAACCUGCCCUUGAAGUAGGGGAUAACACUUGGAAACAGGUGCUAAUACCGUAUAACAACCAAAACCACCUGGUUUUGGUUUAAAAGACGGCUUCGGCUGUCACUUUAGGAUGGACCCGCGGCGUAUUAGCUUGUUGGUAAGGUAACGGCCUACCAAGGCGAUGAUACGUAGCCGACCUGAGAGGGUAAUCGGCCACAUUGGGACUGAGACACGGCCCAAACUCCUACGGGAGGCAGCAGUAGGGAAUCUUCCACAAUGGACGAAAGUCUGAUGGAGCAACGCCGCGUGAGUGAUGAAGGGUUUCGGCUCGUAAAACUCUGUUGUUGGAGAAGAACAGGUGUCAGGGUAACUGUUGACAUCUUGACGGUAUCCAACCAGAAAGCCACGGCUAACUACGUGCCAGCAGCCGCGGUAAUACGUAGGUGGCAAGCGUUGUCCGGAUUUAUUGGGCGUAAAGCGAGCGCAGGCGGUUUUUUAGGUCUGAUGUGAAAGCCUUCGGCUUAACCGGAGAAGUGCAUCGGAAACCGGGAGACUUGAGUGCAGAAGAGGACAGUGGAACUCCAUGUGUAGCGGUGAAAUGCGUAGAUAUAUGGAAGAACACCAGUGGCGAAGGCGGCUGUCUGGUCUGUAACUGACGCUGAGGCUCGAAAGCAUGGGUAGCGAACAGGAUUAGAUACCCUGGUAGUCCAUGCUGUAAACGAUGAGUGCUAAGUGUUGGAGGGUUUCCGCCCUUCAGUGCUGCAGCUAACGCAUUAAGCACUCCGCCUGGGGAGUACGACCGCAAGGUUGAAACUCAAAGGAAUUGACGGGGGCCCGCACAAGCGGUGGAGCAUGUGGUUUAAUUCGAUGCUACGCGAAGAACCUUACCAGGUCUUGACAUCUUCUGCCAACCUAAGAGAUUAGGCGUUCCCUUCGGGGACAGAAUGACAGGUGGUGCAUGGUUGUCGUCAGCUCGUGUCGUGAGAUGUUGGGUUAAGUCCCGCAACGAGCGCAACCCUUAUUGUUAGUUGCCAGCAUUCAGUUGGGCACUCUAGCAAGACUGCCGGUGACAAACCGGAGGAAGGUGGGGAUGACGUCAAAUCAUCAUGCCCCUUAUGACCUGGGCUACACACGUGCUACAAUGGACGGUACAACGAGUCGCGAAACCGCGAGGUCAAGCUAAUCUCUUAAAGCCGUUCUCAGUUCG